rnacentral:rRNA from 1 species
ACAGUGGCGAACGGGUGAGUAACACGUUGGUAUCUGCCCCAGACUCAGGGAUAACACUUAGAAAUAGGUGCUAAUACCGGAUGGUCUCGUAAGAGUAAAGCUUUUGCGGUCUGGGAGGAGCCUGCGGCCUAUCAGCUAGUUGGUGUGGUAAAGGCGCACCAAGGCUAUGACGGGUAACUGGUCUGAGAGGAUGACCAGUCACAAUGGGACUGAGACACGGCCCAUACUCC